UACAGAGGUCGCAAGCGUUAAUCGGAUUUACUGGGCGUAAAGCGUGCGUAGGAGGCCACCUAAGUCGGUUGUGAAAUCCCCGGGCUCAACCUGGGAAUUGCAGUCGAUACUGGGCGGCUAGAGUUCGGUAGAGGGCAGCGGAACUCCAGGUGUAGCGGUGAAAUGCGUAGAUAUCUGGAAGAACACCGAUGGCGAAGGCAACUGCCUGGGCCUGAACUGACUCUGAGGCACGAAAGCGUGGGGAGCAAACAGGAUUAGAAACCCCUGUAGUCC
rnacentral:rRNA from 1 species